GCUGGGUGCGGUGGCACAUGCCUGUGGUCCCAGCUACUCAGGAGGCUGAGGCUGGGGGAUCGCUUGAGCCCAGGAGUUCUGGGCUGUAGUGUGCUAUGCUGAUUGGGUGUCCGCACUAAGUUCGGCAUCAAUAUGGUGACCUCCUGGGAGCGGGGGACCACCAGGUUGCCUAAGGAGGGGUGAACCAGCCCAGGUUGGAAACGGAGCAGGUCAAAACUCCCGAGCUGAUCAGUAGUGGGAUCGCACCUGUGAAUAUCCACUGCACUCCAGCCUGGGCAACAUAGCGAGACCCUGUCUCUA
rnacentral:SRP_RNA from 1 species